CCGGGGCACAAAGGGAAGCGCGUCCCCUCCCGCCGGGCUCUCGGCUCCCAUCCCCGCACACCGACGGGGCACGGGCUCGUCCCUCGGGCACCGCCGAGCCGUCCCGCACGCCUUUGCUCCUCUGAGAAGAUUCCCCGUGGAAAGCACCGCUGCCCCACGGCCGGUGCCUCCUCCGCCUUGGCGGGGCUUUGCCUGCCUGGUCCGGCAGGAGAGCCAACGGUCCGGUGAAACACAUGACUUUUGAACGCGAGGUGAGAAUUGCCUCUUAAAUGCCAGCAAGCACGAAGAGAGCAAACCCAUAUAUUUCCCCUCCAAAUCUUUGAUUUGAGAAAUUUCAGCCAGCCCAGCUACCGUCAAUUUUUCGCUGUCCAGGACUGUAAACUUCAGAGCUAAAAGCAUUUAAUUGAGAAGACAGCAUCGCGCCUGGUGUAACUCACUUGUACAGUUUGCAUUUUCAACCUGAAAACAGAUACAACAGAGGGUAGCGAGUACUCGGCAGACCCUCCCAGCACACGCAGGAUAACCAGACCCACCUCUCUUGGCUGUACAGAAGUUCCUCACUCACAGGAGGAUGUUUUGACCCAGGCUCCAGCACCCUGCAGAGAACAGCAGCAGAUUUUGGAAGGACUUCACCAUCAAGCUCAUACCCAGAGCUCUCAACCAGCCCUCACAGGUGUUGGCACAAAAAAGGCAUAGAAGAAGAGAGAAUUCCUGCAUCAAGUACAGCCGCUAUGAGCAACCUUUGCAAAACAGACA